rnacentral:rRNA from 1 species
CAUGUAGGCGGAUGAGUAAGCGUUUUGUGAAAUCCCCCGGCUUAACCGGGGAAUUGCUUGGCGAACUGCUCAUCUUGAGGCAAGUAGGGGUGCAUGGAACUCUUGGUGGAGCGGUGGAAUGCGUAGAUAUCAAGAGGAACGCCAAUGGUGAAAACAGUGCACUGGGCUUGUUCUGACGCUGAGAUGCGAAAGCGUGGGGAGCGAACGGGAUUAGAUACCCCGGUAGUCCACGCCGUAAACGAUGCCUACUAGGUCGUAGAACCUCUGACGGUUUUAUGGCCGAAGCAAAAGUGUUAAGUAGGCCGCCUGGGGAGUACGGUCGCAAGGCUAAA